CUAGGUGUAUGUAGACUAGAUGGAAACUGAGGAUUAGGCAUAUAACUAGCACACCAACAAGGAAUAUAGUGGACAAAUGGGUAAAAUGGUAAAAUAUAAAUAAUACAGUUCAGCUAAGCAGUAAGUGAAUCAAUGUGAAUGUUAUUAAUGAGAAGGGAUCCGGUUCUGUCAGGAAGAGAAUAAUAUAGCAGAGACAUAAUAAGUAUUGAUGAAUAUGCAAAGCAUGGAAAAAUAUGUCAUUCAAACAAGUCUUUUAAUGGGCUUCAUAAAUGUGGUAAGAAAUAGGAAGACAACCAGUCUUAGCUUUCCCCGAGGUUGAAAUAAACUUGACCCAAUGGAGUUCCCUAGUCCUGUUCAUUUGCUGAGUUGACUUAUAUUCCAGGGAUUUGCAUGUGGAAAACUAAUGCCAUGGCAGGAUUACCAGACUGUAAAUUCAUCAAGAAGCCUGAUGAUAUCAUAAACUGUGAGAAGCCAAUGUCCUGCUACAGCAUCAGAAACCUCCCAGUUUGAUUUAGCACUGGGCUGUCGCGAGAUGUUUCUGUGCUUGUGAAAUGAGCCCAUGUCACCACCCUGUUGGGGAAGAUUGAAGGCAUGGGUGAAGCCAAGGAAAUCCAUAAGAAAACCAUAGCUGCACCCCCUCCCCAAGAGGUGCAGAACUAUAAGAGUAAAGGAUGGAAUGACAAUUACUGAGAAGGUUGAAGGGCAAAACAAGUCUACCUGAAUGAUAAAGCUGACGUUUGGAUUUCAAGAUCUGUGUUAGAACGCAAUGAAAUUCAUGAGAAUUUAGGAGCAUUAUGUAGACACAGCAUAAAGGAAAGAAAACUUCUCUCUCUCUUCCUGUGGUCUCUAUAGGAGUUAGUGGGUGUGGUAAUAAAUUUUAAAUACUGGUUUGAGAAUUCCUUUUUCAUAAGAGGACAGUGGGUAGACACUCAUUUUUAUGUGUGCAUUUCAAAAACGGUCUGUUUUAAUGCCUUAAUUCUGCAAAUCCCAUUUCAAUAUGCUUAUUAAUUCACUCUCCUUAUAAAUAUUAAACCAUAAUAUAUUCAUAAAAACAAAUCUAAAAUAUACAAAUACAUAUGUAAAUUCUUCUCUUUUAUCUUGCUUAU